rnacentral:lncRNA from 1 species
GGCAGGAGAGCAAAUAGCUUGGCUGAGAGGUGAUUGCAAUUGUUCAGCAGCUGGGCAGGAGAGCAAACAGCUUUGAGGCUGCAGGAAAGAGGGCUGGGUGCAGUUGGGUCUGCCAGUUGACCGUCGGCAACGGUUAGGGGUUUUGGAUGACCGUAGGCAAAGGUUAGGUGUCAUGGACCCUGCCCCCGGACCCCCGGCCUGCUCCUGGACGAGGCCACUGCCAGGACCGGUCUACACCCGUGGACGAGAGGACCACUCAGUCAAUCCCAGGAAGUGACUGUGGAGUGUGCAGAGCGAACAAACAUUUUCCAGGUCUCAGUCCUGUGGAAUGAAAGCAUUAAUGGGCUAGUUGGUUUGAGCUUUCAUGAGAGAAAAAGCUGUUCACUGUGGGAUUACUUCUCAGCCCCAUUAUCUUGAAGAUUCCCUUGAAAACGGUAAAAGGAUUUCACUAAUUUCCAGCUUAUAAGUGACACUUGCAUCGGUACGGAAGAUAUUCAUCGUCCUCGACGAACGGUUGA